GUGAGGAAUAUUGGUCAAUGGGCGAGAGCCUGAACCAGCCAAGUCGCGUGAAGGAAGAAGGUUCUAUGGAUUGUAAACUUCUUUUGUAAGGGAAUAAAGUGCGCUACGUGUAGCGUUUUGUAUGUACUUUACGAAUAAGGAUCGGCUAACUCCGUGCCAGCAGCCGCGGUAAUACGGAGGAUCCGAGCGUUAUCCGGAUUUAUUGGGUUUAAAGGGUGCGCAGGCGGACCCUUAAGUCAGUGGUGAAAGUUUGCAGCUCAACUGUAAAAUUGCCAUUGAAACUGAGGGUCUUGAGUGUAAAUGAGGUAGGCGGAAUGUGUUGUGUAGCGGUGAAAUGCUUAGAUAUAACACAGAACACCAAUUGCGAAGGCAGCUUACUAGGAUACAACUGACGCUCAGGCACGAAAGCGUGGGGAUCAAACAGG
rnacentral:rRNA from 1 species